rnacentral:rRNA from 3 species
UAAGCCCGGGAAACUGGGUCUAAUACUGGAUGCUACAUGUCACCGCAUGGUGGUGUGUGGAAAGGGUUUACUGGUCUUGGAUGGGCUCACGGCCUAUCAGCUUGUUGGUGAGGUAAUGGCUCACCAAGGCGACGACGGGUAGCCGGCCUGAGAGGGUGACCGGCCACACUGGGACUGAGACACGGCCCAGACUCCUACGGGAGGCAGCAGUGGGGAAUAUUGCACAAUGGGCGAAAGCCUGAUGCAGCGACGCCGCGUGAGGGAUGACGGCCUUCGGGUUGUAAACCUCUUUCAGCAGGGAAGAAGCCACAAGUGACGGUACCUGCAGAAGAAGCGCCGGCUAACUACGUGCCAGCAGCCGCGGUAAUACGUAGGGCGCAAGCGUUGUCCGGAAUUAUUGGGCGUAAAGAGCUCGUAGGCGGUUUGUCGCGUCUGCUGUGAAAGCCCGGGGCUUAACCCCGGGUGUGCAGUGGGUACGGGCAGACUAGAGUGCAGUAGGGGAGACUGGAAUUCCUGGUGUAGCGGUGGAAUGCGCAGAUAUCAGGAGGAAC